ensembl:lncRNA
UCUGAGUUAUGUGAUUGGUCCACAAGGGAAUAUUGGAGCUAGUUCAACAAUUAUUUUUUAUCCACAACUCUCUUAAUGUAGCUUACAUCAGCCAGUACUUUUCUUUUGAAGCAUGAUGUUUCCACCCACGGUGCACUUUGUUCAAUGUAGCUUUACAGUAAACCCAUUUAGUGAACACUGGCUUUGACUGUAUGAGCUGAAAACGAAGGUCCUAAUCUGUCAAUGGUCCUUAUGCAAGCAGCUGUUGAACAGAAACUUGAAGCAUGCAUGCAGACACACACAGAGUGGUCUGCCAUCUCUGCAACUUGGAUUGUGACAAUUUUCAGGGCCUAUAUAACCAGCAUGUCCAGGCAUGCAAUCACAACACACAUAGCAUGGCAUUGGAAAGCCAGAGCCUGCAUCUUUCCUCUGACAUGCAAAUACAUAACAGAAUUGAUGAAUAGGGCCUGGCGCCUAGUGUCUGACCUGACUGCAGAAAUAGGUUAUAGUACAAUUCAGUCCAAAGUUCAAAGAUACAAUUGAGCCCAUCCCAAUGACCCAAAAUCUAUGGCACAUGUUAAGUGCGUUAUACCUUUUCAGGAAAAGUUAUAACAUUUAUGUAUUUUAAACUAUUCUUGCCACAGGUGAUGGCAAAAUGAUACAACAAACAUUCUAAAAUGUGAAAAGGGCCAGCAAGCCUUAGAAGCGUGACUGUCGUCCCUCUGAACCCUUUAACGUUACACACCAGGCAUAAACAUGAAAAUGCUUAGACAAGACUUGUACAAUAAAUACAUAUGAGAUACAUGACUUGAAAUCAAUCUGACCGUUCCAUAAAUUACCAAAGACUAAAUGAAAAGAAAACACAGUAAAAUGAUUUCAUGAAAUGAAGACUGAAUAAAUAUUAAUUGACCUUCAACUGUAGUCACAUACUGCACGAAUUAGUUGUUUUUCAAGUUUUCACAUACAAGCAAAGUAAUAGAAAAUUGGUGUGGGCUGGUGUCUUGAGAUCUAAUAAUCUACUUUAUAUUACUCAGCCAAUGGUAGUGGAAUAUUGGAUCCAACAUGCAGAAUAGGUCUACAAUUGGAUGAGCAUUUUUUUAACAUCACAUCCACUUCAGUUGUAUACUACAUACCGUGCCCCAUUGGUGUGUACGAAAACUGAAAGCCUGUUAAGUGAAUAUAAGCAUGUGAAAAGCUUGUUGUUUGAGUGAAACAAGGGGACCCUCAGACAUGACCAAUCAGGAAUUGCAUGGCACCCUUCACAUUGAUUACAUUAGACAUGAUUGGAAUAGGUUCAGGGAUGUUUCUGCACUAAUACUUCAGCCUAGAUUUAAUAAAUUAUGUAAAUCAGUGGAAAAAUAUCAAACCAAAUCUCAGAGGCACUGAUGAGAAAACAGUAAUAAUUCAUUGUUCUCCAUUGUGCUUUGGAAGAUUGUUUGAGUCACUUCAUGGAGUAAGUGAAUAGGACCAUAAAGAUAACUUUGAAGAAAAUCUUUCAAUCACUGCAGUGACUGAUACCAGCAAAUGUCCAAAUGCUGGUUUUGCACAUUACCAAAGUAUGUACGCAUACAACUGAAGGGGCAUUUAAAACAAACUAAACAAAAUUAUUUUGAUAUAUAACUUCCAAUAUGGAGAUGUA